rnacentral:rRNA from 1 species
AGUCUGACGCAGCAACGCCGCGUGGGUGAUGAAGGUCUUCGGAUUGUAAAGCCCUGUCUUCGAGGACGAUAAUGACGGUACUCGAGGAGGAAGCCACGGCUAACUACGUGCCAGCAGCCGCGGUAAUACGUAGGUGGCAAGCGUUGUCCGGAUUUACUGGGCGUAAAGAGUGUGUAGGCGGAUAAUU